CGGCGAGUGAAGCGGGAAGAGCUCAAAUUUGAAAGCUGGCACCUUCGGUGUCCGCGUUGUAAUCUCGAGAAGUGUUUUCCGUGCUGGACCAUGUACAAGUUCCUUGGAAUAGGACGUCAUAGAGGGUGAAAAUCCCGUACUUGACAUGGACGCCCAGUGCUUUGUGAUACACUCUCCACGAGUCGAGUUGUUUGGGAAUGCAGCUCAAAAUGGGUGGUAAAUUCCAUCUAAAGCUAAAUAUUGGGGAGAGACCGAUAGCGAACAAGUACCGUGAGGGAAAGAUGAAAAGCACUUUGGAAAGAGAGUUAAACAGUACGUGAAAUUGUCGAAAGGGAAGCGCUUGAAGUUAGACAUGCUUGCCGGGAUUCAGCCUUGCUUUUGCUUGGUGCAUUUCCCGGUGUGCAGGCCAGCAUCAGUUUUGUUUGCCGGAUAAGGGUGAGAGGAAUGUGGCCCCUCGGGGUGUUAUAGCCUCUCACUGGAUACGGCGGAUGGGACUGAGGACCGCAGUGUGCCUUUAUGGCGGGCCUUCGGGCACCUUCACACUUAGGAUGCUGGCGUAAUGGCUUUAAGCGACCCGUC
rnacentral:rRNA from 1 species